CAGAGCACCUUCCAUCUCUCAGCUGAGCGACCAGGGCCUUCAUCAUUGCAGGAAUUCCCAUGGUGGCCAGUAGAGAGAGCUCGAGCCCCACAGACCCGGAGGGGCGGGUUCCUCUGCCUAGGCAGUGAUGGCCAGCAGAGGGCGCACCAUCGGCUUUUCUGACUCAGGGCACCUGAGAGCAGGAAGGGCUUCUGUUGCUCCCAGAGGACUCAGGGCCUCUGCUGCUGCCUCAGGACAGAGAGCAGAGCUGCGUUUCCAGCGGGUUCUGCCGCCCGCCCCAGGGGAGACCUUGGGAGCUUUGCAGCAACUUGGCAUCUCCUGAGUCGCCAGAGAGAAGCUGCCAUGUUGUACUGAGUGCUGAGGAGGGGGCACUGGGUGGCUUCCCUGGGCUAGCUGGUUGCUGAGCAGCACAGGCCCUUGCAUUUUCUGGGCUGUUCCCGUGUUUCAUCCCUCCCCUUCCCGGACAGUAUUUGAACAAGACAUAUUUUACUAAAGGACUCGUGGGUUGCUGGGUCCCACGACAUCACCUCAUAGAUGCAGUCGGUGGUUUGUUCCAGAUUCAGGCUUGUUUCCAGGAAGAAACCCUGACAGAAAUUCAGAAGAACGGGAGCUGCAUUCAGUUAGGAUGUGGAUAUAUGAAAUGCUUGUCUCAGGACCUUCUAGAAGAAUGAGCUGGGACCCACGUUCCGAGUCCUGCUGGCACCAGAGACAGAGGUUGACAAUUCUUGGUGACCAGAAGUGGGAUCCAGAGAAGACCACAACUGCUCCAGAGCUGGCUAGCAAACGGAAUUUAUGGAUCAAAAUCAUCCCAUCUUUUCAGAAUGCAUCCCACAGGAGUAUUGGCCUUGGUUGGGGAAUUACCCAUCUACAGGAAAAGGAAGAAGAGGCACCCCUUAUCUUAAUUUUCCAUAGCUGGCCAGGAGAAGCCUCAUGUCCUGACCCUGAUAGUUGGACAGGAGAAGAAGCCUCAUUUCCUGGCCCUGCAUUUUGUCUGGCUAUUCGACUGGCAGCCAAAAGCUUUGUCAGUCUCAUGAGAUGCUGGGAGCAGUCACUCUUAUCCAGGCUUGACCCUACCUCCGAGAAUUGACCUUCUCUUCCCUGAUUUCUCUUAUCCCUCCGUUUUCCCCCUGCAGGACUUUGGGGGUAUCGACUACGACCAAGCAAGACUUCCCUGGUUGUAGAAGGAUGCACUAAUUUUAUUUUGGCCCAACAGUAAUUGUCCUUACAAAUAUAUUUUAAAAGGCUUGCGAAAACUAUUUUUUGUAAGGAUAAAAUUGGCUGCCAAGAGGGCUAAGAGGGACAAAGUAGAAGUCUAUUUCCUUGCCUUUUCAGCAAUGCCCACAGAAAUAUGUUCCAGCCAUUUAGAGUAUCUAGGUUGUUACAAAUUGGCAGACACUGGGCUAAGUAUAGCAAAAUGGCUCCUGUGUAUUCUAGUACAAGCUCUUUAUAUAUUAUAGUGAUCUAUCCCUUAAAUGGCACAGGCAUCCAUUCCUGUUCUAAACAGAAACAACCCAAAUGUGGAGCAUUUGGAGUCUGGCAGCGAGGACACUGUCACCACCUCCCCAGCCUUUGGAUCAAAGGAGGGGAAAUUUCAACCAAGGCUUGAAUAAAACAAAUCAAAAGGG